UUGAAUGAAAAAUUACACUGCAGAAGAAAAGUACAGCAUUGUCUCAUUUGUGUAAAGUUUGAAAACGUGUAAAACUAAACACUAUUUUGUUUGCUUUUGUGGCUAUGUAUUAAAAUAUAAAAGAGAAGCAAAUAAUUACAAAAACAAACACCUCAAUAGAGUUAGAGAACAGAGGCAUGGAACCUGGGAAGAGAAAUAAGAGCUUUCAAAUGUUCUGGUAAUAUUUUAUUUCCUGUGCCAAGUUGUUUUUGUAAGUGAUCAUUCUUUGGUAUGUUAUCAAGUUAUUAUCCAUAUAUUCAAAGUCAAUUUUGUAAUGUGGAGAAAACAACCUCACUGAACAAUUAAACAAAUAAGGAGAAAUCUAUGGAAAGAUAUACAUUAAGCUGUUAACAUUACUUACCUGAAAUGAGGAUGAGAUGGAGGAAGAAAAAAGUGAAAAAAAAAAUCAUCAAAAAAUACACUAUUUAAAAUAAAUAGAUACAGAGAGAAAAAGCAAAAAAGGGAGGUUAUCUAAAAGAAACAUUAGUAAAUGAACAAGCUAAAAUACACCAGAAAGAGCUAGAAAGUGAAGUAUUUUUCAAAGCAGUGCCUAGUUUCAGAAUCAUAAAGAUAGUAAUUACAACAUAGGUAUGUAUUAUACAAAAAGAUAAUUAGAUAAUUAAUAGCCAGAAGGAAUGCCCAGUCUUGAGUUAGAAACUGAUGCUCAAAUUAAUGGCAAAGGACAUUUUUGAAACAACUGUGAAACUUUGCAUAAAAACUAAAUAGUAGAUAAGAUGAAAAUGCAUUGAUGAGAAAGAAUGAUGAUCAUUAACUGAAAAAAGCUUAUCAAACAGAAUUUCAAGAAUAUUGUUUAUAAAAAAUAAUGUGUCUAUAUAUCUGCACAUUUAUAUAUGGAGGGAGAGAGGGAUCUAGAAAGACCCGCACUAAGGUGUUAACAGUGAUAAUUGCUUUCCGGCAGUGGCAUCAUAUUUUUAUUUUGUUAUUUUAUUUUCUAAUGUUCUAAAAUAUCAGUGCAUUGCUUAUAUUAGCAAAAACAGACAUAAAGUAUUUUUAAAUGAAUACAAAAUAACUUAGUUAUAUUUACUGAGUUAGGAUAAAAGCUUUUUUCCCCAAUACCAUAAAGUGUUUUUGCUCAGGAACAUGAAGCAGUAACAUGAUGAUUAUAAGUCUGCGGAGGGAUCACGUCAAAAAGGUGCAGAGAAGGCAUAAAAAAGCCUCAUCCCUUUGCAAUGUCAGUGUGACCAUGGGCACCAGGCUCCUCAGCUGUGCAGCCCUGUGUCUCCUGGCAGCAGGCUCUUUUCAUGCCGAAGUCACACAGACUCCAGGAUAUUUGGUCAAAGGAAAAGGACAGAAAACAAAGAUGGAUUGUACCCCCGAAAAAGGACAUACUUAUGUUUAUUGGUAUCAACAGAAUCAGAAUAAAGAGUUUACAUUUUUGAUUUCCUUUCAGGAUGAACAAGUUCUUCAAGAAACGGAGCUGCACAAGAAGCGGUUCUCAUCUCAAUGCCCCAAGAACCUACCUUGCAGCCUGGAGAUCCCGUCCUCGGAACCAGGAGACACGGCACUGUAUCUCUGUGCCAGCAGCCAAUCCACAGCACUGAAAUGUCAGUUCCUCUUAGCACACAAACUUGUCACAGGCCCAGCUCAGGAAGCAGGUGAUGUAUUAGGUUGGAACGGAGUAAUAGAAAGUAACUGUAGCCAGUUUAAGCCACAGUGGAAUUUAACACAAGGAUAAAGCAUGUUUAGCAACAGUCAAGAGGCGACAGACAGAUAGUUCUGAAAAGGCACCCUAGGGCUGGGCUCUAGAAUGACUCUCUCUCCAGCUCUGAUUUUUCUUCAAUUUUGGCUGCUGCAUGCUUUUA